rnacentral:rRNA from 1 species
UACGAAGGGGGCUAGCGUUGCUCGGAAUUACUGGGCGUAAAGCGCACGUAGGCGGAUUGUUAAGUCGGGGGUGAAAUCCUGGAGCUCAACUCCAGAACUGCCUUCGAUACUGAGAGUCUUGAGUCCGGGAGAGGUGAGUGGAACUGCGAGUGUAGAGGUGAAAUUCGUAGAUAUUCGCAAGAACACCAGUGGCGAAGGCGGCUCACUGGCCCGGUACUGACGCUGAGGUGCGAAAGCGUGGGGAGCAAACAGG